rnacentral:lncRNA from 1 species
CACUGGAGUUCAGUGAUUACUGCCACAAUCAUCAACCCCCUAUAGCAUUUAUCAGAACUGAAGUGAGAGGUUUAUUUGGUUAUGCCUUCUGUGAUUUUGGCCCUGAAUUCACAGUUUUUGAUGUAGAUGGUGAAGAACCUCAUACGGGAAUCAUUGCAUCAGUUAGCAAUGAUAACCCUGCCCUUGUUUCGUGUGUGGAUGCUAUUUGGUUAUGUCUUCUGUGAUUUUGGCCCUGAAUUCACAGUUUUUGAUGUAGAUGGUGAAGAACCUCAUACGGGCAUCAUUGCAUCAAUUAGUAAUGAUAACCCUGCCCUUGUUUCGUGUGUGGAUGAUGAAAGGCUCGAGUUUCAGGAUGGGGACCUAGUUGUGUUUUCAGAAGUACGGGGCAUGACAGAACUUAAUGAUGGC